ensembl:lncRNA LINC02217 long intergenic non-protein coding RNA 2217
GAUUGACAGCUCUGAAAGAAAGUGGAAGUUUCGGGCUGUGUAGUAUCCUGCCGUAUGCUCCAUCCAAAUUUGAUGAGAAUCUUGGGGAGACCAGCCACCUUCUGAGCAGACUCCUUUCCUCCAGUGGAACUUUUCCUCCCAAUUAUUAUGGGACUUCUGAAGAUUUUAACUUACUUUGCAGAAACUCCUAACCUUUUACUCAGCCUCAAUUUAGCAAGGGUACUAUGAGGAAAAUUGGCAAGGCAUUUGGGGAUACUUUUGUUUCCAAAUUGUUGUGGUUGCUUCUAUGAAUGCCACAAGCUUUGCUGGCUUCUCUUUCCUUCCUACAGUGCUUCUGCAUGAACCAGAUCUGAUCUGUGUUUCAAAUCAGCAAACAUCCCAAGAAAGAAAAUAGCCUGUGAAAGGUAGCUAAUCUUGGCAAAACACUCUGCUCUCUGGAAUUUUUGUUCUUUUAAUUCUUUUUGUUUCCAUAAUUCACUGAUCUCUUUAUAUGGAUUUUUUUUGCAAUUAAUUUGUCGUUUUUAGUUAGUCUAACAGGAUUGUAUUCUCCUGCAACUAACGGCAUUCUAUUUAUAACCACAAGUCCCCUUAGGGUCAACUUUUAAGAAGCCUUGGGCAGCUAUGUUCUUCCAACCUAACAGUCCAUAAGAUCUUCCCCUAUUUUUCCAGAAGCUUCAGAUGAGACUAUCACAAAGAAAAAUAUACAGGGAGUCCACGGAGCCUCCCCUGCAAGCAUCAGUACAGAAGUCGAUGAUAAUCUGGAUGCAAGCCCAGGAGUGUGGAGUCCACUGACUCAGAAGACCUGCAUCUAAGGAAUUGGCUGUUCUUAUCCUUAAGAAUGAUGACUGUGUUUCCAAUUCCAGUAGACCCUUUGAUGCGUUCUGAAUAAAUAUUCCUUUUGGAAUUGAACUUCUAGAGCCCUUAACUUUGGCCCACUCUAGUUUUCUGUCUGUUUUUUUUUUUUUUAAUAUUUUUUUUUUGUAAAGAUAAGGUCUUGCUUUGUUGCCCAGGCUGGUCUUGAAUUCCUGGACUCAAGCAAUCCACCUGCCUUGGCCUCCCAAAGUGCUGGGAUUAUAGGUGUGAACCAUUGUGUCCGAUCGCUCUCUGGUUUUUCUAAUAUCAUGAUCCCAACUCUGUUCUUUAUGUAAAUUUCCCUGAUCACAUGGUUGUAUCUUGGCAUUUCAAAAUCCUUGACAGACUUUGUUUUGUUUGAAUUUUACAAUGAACUUACAUGACUAGGCACGGUCCCCAGUUCAGUUUUAUAGACAAGGAUUCUGUAGGUCAAGAAGUGAAACACAACCAAUAACAGCAGGUGACAGGAUUUAAACCUGGGUCACUUUACUUAUUUUUUUCUACUCUAUCAUUAUGUGAAUCUAUCCUACCUCUGCAAUGACAGAUGGCCCUAGAGCAAGAACACUUCCUUACAUCUGGUAUACAGUCAAAAAGUAAAAAUUCCACACAAAUAAAUAUGGAAAGAAUUUUUACCUGCUCCUAUAGCUUCCUUUCAGGGACCUGGCACCCACAAAUGUUGGGUAACAGAAAGAGGACUUAUGUAACUUAACUCAAAGCAGAAAAGUUACAGAGACUGUCUUAGCAUAAUAGAGCAUGGAGUGGUCAUGCUUGGAUGUGCAAACUGUCUGAUAGUCUUGCACAUGGCUUGACCCCGAAUUACACUAGUGGGGCAAGUUGCCUGGGGCAAAGCAAACUUAUUGGACCCAAAGCUCUCAUUUGAGAAUUUUGUUGACUAAAAGUUAUAAAAUAUCAGCAAUUUCAUAUGGUUCAGCCUAAUAUUUUAUCACUCUUCCUUUUUCUAUUCUAAAACAAUAAUUUUUAAUAACGUAAGCUAUACACAUACAUGCUUUAAACAUACAACACCCUGACUAUCAUAUAGUGGAUAUUUCAAGAAGUAAAUGUUCAGCAUGUCUUCACCCCCACUUGAAGACAUAAUGUAUGUAUUAGGCUGUUCUGGCAUUGCUAUAAAGAAAUACCUGAGACUGUGUAAUUUAUAAGAAAGGAGCUUUAAUUGGCUCACGGUUCUGCAGGCUGUACAGGAAACAUAUUGGGUCUACUUCUGUGGAGGCUUCAGGGAACUUUGACUCAUGGUGGAAGGUGAAAUGAGAGCAGGCACCUCAUGUGACUGAAGCAGGAGCAAGAAAGAGAGAGCGAGCAAGGUGCCACACACUCUUAAACAACCAGAACUCUCUCUUGAGAAUUCACUCACUGUCUUGCCGUCAGCACCAAAGGGAUGGUCCUAAACCAUUCAUGAGAAAUCCUCCUCCAUGAUCCAAUCACCUCUCACCAGGCCCUACCCCCAACACUGGGAUUACAAUUCAACGUGAGAUUUGGGCCUGGACACAGAUCCAAACCCUAUCAAUAUAUUAGCCAGAUACUUGCAGCUGUAUGAAGAAUACCCUGGUUACCCAGCUACAAAUGCAGAUGUUAUUGAUAAGGGAGGGGGGCAGGGAAGUGCUGGGAGGAGAAAGCAGGUCUCUGGCGAGGGCUUCACCCCGGUGCCUGUGCCCACAGACCUAGGUAAGGGCAGGCACUCCUGCCUUUGCGCCCAAAUGUUGCAUUUCCCAAGACCACCCUGGCCCACCACGCCCCCAUCCUGUGCCUAUAAAAACCCCGAAACACUAGUGGGCACUCACACAAGCGGCUGGACGUCCAGAGGACGUCAACAAGAGCACGCCGACAGGCAGACCCUGGCAGGCCAUCGACUGGCGGAAGGACAUGGAGUUUGGCUGCGUGGUUGGAGGAGAGCCAGGCCGCUAGGUGGCCUGACUCCAGGAAACUACACCUUCCCACUCCAUCUCCCUUCUGUCUCCCCUGUCUGCUCACAGCUACUUCCUC